rnacentral:rRNA from 1 species
GAUGAACGCUGGCGGCGUGCCUAAUACAUGCAAGUCGAGCGAACGGACGAGAAGCUUGCUUCUCUGAUGUUAGCGGCGGACGGGUGAGUAACACGUGGAUAACCUACCUAUAAGACUGGGAUAACUUCGGGAAACCGGAGCUAAUACCGGAUGAUAUUUUGAACCGCAUGGUUCAAAAGUGAAAGACGGUCUUGCUGUCACUUAUAGAUGGAUCCGCGCUGCAUUAGCUAGUUGGUAAGGUAACGGCUUACCAAGGCAACGAUGCGUAGCCGACCUGAGGGGGUGAUCGGCCACACUGGAACUGAGACACGGUCCAGACUCCUACGGGAGGCAGCAGUAGGGAAUCUUCCGCAAUGGGCGAAAGCCUGACGGAGCAACGCCGCGUGAGUGAUGAAGGUCUUCGGAUCGUAAAACUCUGUUAUUAGGGAAGAACAUAUGUGUAAGUAACUGUGCACAUCUUGACGGUACCUAAUCAGAAAGCCACGGCUAACUACGUG